GGCUCUCCUGCUAGGCCAAUCUGCGAUGACUUCCAGGAUGUCAGUAGCCCCACACUUUGGCUGGUUGCUCUAGCUCUCACCUCAGUUUCUGAUUUUCCAGUAGUCGUUUCUCUUCAGACCUUCUACUAGACUCCACUCACUUUCCAGCAGAAGCUCUCUUCAGCAGAACCUUACUGCAGAUUCCAGGAGGCAGAGGGAGAUUUUACUAUGGAAGAGAAGAAAGUCAUGGGAUGAUGAAAGCCGACAUGAGCUUUAUGCGCUUUGAUGAUGGAAGAAGGAGCCACAGACCAAGAAAUGCUAGUGGCCACUAGAAGCUGGAAAACAGCCAUAGGAAGCUAAAACCCCCUUAAGAUGAUUGAAGAGUAUCAUAGCUUCUGAAGAU
rnacentral:lncRNA from 1 species